GGCGAAAUGCUGAAGGGCUCUCCUAUUCGGGGGAAUUCGGUAGUGAUGUAUAAGGUAUGAAAGAUGUAGCCUGCAGAGAGCCGGCACUAUCUCUACUGCUGCUGCUGCUGCCACCGCUGCCGCCGCCGCCGCCGCCACUACUGCUGCCAGCAGAGCUGUUGGGAGUGAGCCUCUCUUCUCCCAGAUAACCAGCUCCGUGGCAUCUCCCGCUCCUUGGCCCUACGCGGACCUCCCCGCCCCAGGGAACAAAAGCAGAGUCCAGCCGCCCUGUUCUGCAGCCAGAGGAUGAUGAGUCGAGUGGGCUGAGCGGAGAGUGUGGUCCUCAGCGGUUGGAAGACCCUGGCUUAUCAGAGGACAACAUGCUUUUGAAAUGCCACAUUAUUUUGUAAGUACAUUUCACGUCCGAAAGUCCCACUAAGUGUGAAAUACCGAAGACUUAUUGCUUGCGAUUCCGUUCUUUGUUGCUCCCGGGCUCCAGCACAAGGAUGUUAAAAUGGCCAUUUCCAUCAUCAGUCUCCUGACUUCCCGCUCAUCUUCUCCAAAUCAGUCAUCCAUCUCCCUCCCCCUCUUCUCUCUGUUGCCUCCCAUUUCUUCACCCUUUUGUUCAUUUAAGUGGGUUUCUUCCGCUGUCCCUUCUUUCCUUCCUUCCUUCCUUCCUUCCUUCCUUCCUUCCUUCCUUCCUUCCUCCCUCCCUCCCUUCCUCCCUCCCUCCCUCUCUCUCUCCUUCUUUAAUAGGUUUUCUUCCCUCCUUUCCUAUCAUUUGUUUGUUUGUUUCUCUCUUCCUCUCCUCCAUCCAUAAGUGUCUUUUCAUAGGGCAUCAUAAAACUGUAAACCUCAGCACACUGACUUGGGGCCUCAUAUUUAUUUGUUAUAGAGACUGCCAUGAGCAUUGUAGAAUUUUAACAGUGCCCUGAAUCCAGGAACCAAUCCCUCCUCCUCCCUGUGCUGUUCACCAAACAUGUGCUCAAGGCAUCACCAAGUGUCUGCAGAGGGGUGGAGGAGCUGGAGCUGUAC
rnacentral:lncRNA from 1 species